rnacentral:sRNA from 1 species
GCUGCGCCUAGCCCGACGGGGCGAAAACCGGGACACCCUUACCCGGCUGGCGUGGCACCCAAUCAAGGG